rnacentral:lncRNA from 1 species
CCAUAAGAUCCCCAAGUAGUCACCUACUAUUUGGCAAAAGAACUCUGAUUCUCCCCUCAAAAUGAGUGUAUUUUGGGCUGUCUCCAACCCCUGAAGAGAGAGGCAAGGUGUCUUUUUCUAUAUGAAAACCUGCUGUUGGAAAGCCCUCUGGCCAUCCUGUGGGAGGGGGUCAUGUGAGAUGAAAUAGGAGACAAUUCGCCAAAUGAGGAGGCCCCUCCACUUCUGAAAGUACUUGGACACAAACCAGAUGGUGGGGCACAAAGUCCUUCCAGCAGUUAUGUCCCUCAGCCCUCGUAGUAAUUGGUAA